rnacentral:rRNA from 1 species
CCGGCACGGGUGAGUAACACGUAUGCAAUCCACCUGUAACAGGGGGAGUAACCCGGAGAAAUUCGGACUAAUACCCCAUAAUAUGGGCGCUCCGCAUGGAGAGCCCAUUAAAGAGAGCAAUUUUGGUUACAGACGAGCAUGCGCUCCAUUAGCCAGUUGGCGGGGUAACGGCCCACCAAAGCGACGAUGGAUAGGGGUUCUGAGAGGAAGGUCCCCCACAUUGGAACUGAGACACGGUCCAA